rnacentral:rRNA from 1 species
GACGAACGCUGGCGGCGUGGAUUAGGCAUGCAAGUCGAACGGUAUCAUCCUUUCGGGGGUGAGAGAGUGGCGAACUGGUGAGUAACACGUAGGUUAUCUACCCUCAAGACGGGGACAACCCAGGGAAACUUGGGCUAAUACCGGAUGUGAGCAACUUUUAGUUGUUUGAAAGGUGGCGUAAGCUGUCGCUUGGGGAUGAGCCUGCGUCCUAUUAGUUAGUUGGUGAGGUAACGGCUCACCUAGGCAAUGAUAGGUAGGCGGCCUUAACGGGUGGUCGCCCACACUGGGAUUGAGAUACGGCCCAGACUCCUACGGGAGGCAGCAGUCGAGAAUAGUCUACAAUGGUCGGAAGACUUGGAUAGUGCGACGCCGCGUGAACGAUGAAUCCCUUCGGGGUGUAAAGUUCUUUUAUAUGUGAGCAGUGCUUCUUAUAUUUAACAGUAUGGGGAGAGAGAUAUUAGCAUAUGAAUAAGCAACGGCUAACUCCGUGCCAGCAGCCGCGGUAAACUCCG